UACGUAGGGUGCAAGCGUUGUCCGGAAUUAUUGGGCGUAAAGCGCUCGUAGGCGGCCUGUCGCGUCGGCUGUGAAAACCCGAGGCUCAACCUCGGACCUGCAGUCGAUACGGGCAGGCUAGAGUUCGGUAGGGGAGACUGGAAUUCCUGGUGUAGCGGUGAAAUGCGCAGAUAUCAGGAGGAACACCGGUGGCGAAGGCGGGUCUCUGGGCCGAUACUGACGCUGAGGAGCGAAAGCGUGGGGAGCGAACAGG
rnacentral:rRNA from 1 species